GUGCUGCAUGGCUGUCGUCAGCUCGUGUCGUGAGAUGUUGGGUUAAGUCCCGCAACGAGCGCAACCCUUGUCCUUAGUUGCCAGCGGGUAGAGCGGGGAACUCUAGGGAGACCGCCGGUGAUAAACCGGAGGAAGGGGGGGAUGACGUCAAGUCAUCAUGGCCCUUAUGGCCAGGGCUACACACGUGCUACAAUGGUCGGUACAGAGGGCAGCCAACCCGCGAGGGGGAGCAAAUCCCAAAAAACCGAUCUUAUUCCGGAUUGCAGUCUGCAACUCGACUGCAUGAAAGCGGAAUCGCUAGUAAUCGCGAAUCAAAAUGCCGCGGUGAAUACGUUCCCGGGCUUGUACACCCCGA
rnacentral:rRNA from 1 species